UACGUAGGGUGCGAGCGUUAAUCGGAAUUACUGGGCGUAAAGCGUGCGCAGGCGGUUUUGUAAGCCAGAUGUGAAAUCCCCGGGCUUAACCUGGGAAUGGCAUUUGGGACUGCAAGGCUUGAGUGCGGCAGAGGAGACUGGAAUUCCUGGUGUAGCAGUGAAAUGCGUAGAUAUCAGGAGGAACACCGAUGGCGAAGGCAGGUCUCUGGGCUGACACUGACGCGCAUGCACGAAAGCGUGGGGAGCAAACAGG
rnacentral:rRNA from 1 species